rnacentral:rRNA from 1 species
AUUGAACGCUGGCGGCAGGCCUAACACAUGCAAGUCGAACGAGUGGCGGACAGGUGAGUAAUGUCUGGGAAACUGCCUGAUGGUGGGGGAUGAAUACGGGAAACGGUAGCUAAUACCGCAUCCCAUCGGAUGUGCCCAGAUGGGAUUAGUUCGUAGGUGGGGUAAAGGCUCCACUAGGCGACGAUCCCUAGCUGGUCUGAGAGGAUGACCAGCCACACUUGAAGUGAGACACGGUCCAGACUCCUACGGUAUGCAGCAGUGGGGAAGAUUGCACAAGGGGCGCAAGCCUGAUGCAGCCAUGCCGCGUGUAUGAAGAAGGCCUUCGGGUUGUAAAGUACUUUCAGCGGGGAGGCGUUACCCGCAGAAGAAGCACCGGCUAACUCCGUGCCAGCCGCCGCGGUAAUUC